UUAUGCUAUAAAAAUGUAAAAUCAAUACUUUUAAAACUCAUGACAAACAAAUUAAUGUCAAGUUUUAAUAUGGAUGGAACGAGGAAUAAGAAUGCAUUUCGUAAGACAAAUCUGAUGAAGGUUAUUGCUGAGGCCAUGUCAAAGUAUGAUGAAAUGGAAAUAGAAAAAUGCGUUGGAAAUGUGUUAAAAGAGCGCCGGAUAGAAAAGGCGGAGGUGGACGGGAUAAAGAAAAUCAUAAUAACAGUUUUCAAGAUGUUUUUUAAAUAUUUUUGUAAUGUGAAGUAUCUUUAACAUGGUUUACACUGCAAA
rnacentral:lncRNA from 1 species